rnacentral:rRNA from 1 species
UACGUAGGGGGCAAGCGUUGUCCGGAAUUAUUGGGCGUAAAGCGCGUGUAGGCGGUCCGGUAAGCCAGAUGUGAAAUCCCCGGGCUUAACCUGGGAAUGGCAUUUGGGACUGCAAGGCUUGAGUGCGGCAGAGGAGACUGGAAUUCCCGGUGUAGCAGUGAAAUGCGUAGAUAUCGGGAGGAAUACCGAUGGCGAAGGCAGGUCUCUGGGCUGACACUGACGCUCAUGCACGAAAGCGUGGGGAGCAAACAGG